CCUACGGGAGGCAGCAGUGGGGAAUAUUGCACAAUGGGCGCAAGCCUGAUGCAGCCAUGCCGCGUGUGUGAAGAAGGCCUUCGGGUUAUAAAGCACUUUCAGCGGGGAGGAAGGCGGUGAGGUUAAUAACCUCAUCGAUUGACGUUACCCGCAGAAGAAGCACCGGCUAACUCCGUGCCAGCAGCCGCGGUAAUACGGAGGGUGCAAGCGUUAAUCGGAAUUACUGGGCGUAAAGCGCACGCAGGCGGUCUGUCAAGUCGGAUGUGAAAUCCCCGGGCUCAACCUGGGAACUGCAUUCGAAACUGGCAGGCUAGAGUCUUGUAGAGGGGGGUAGAAUUCCAGGUGUAGCGGUGAAAUGCGUAGAGAUCUGGAGGAAUACCGGUGGCGAAGGCGGCCCCCUGGACAAAGACUGACGCUCAGGUGCGAAAGCGUGGGGAGCAAACAGGAUUAGAUACCCGUGUAGUC
rnacentral:rRNA from 1 species